GCGAGCGGAUCCCUUCGGGGUGAAGCUCGUGUAACGAGCGGCGGACGGGUGAGUAACACGUGGGCGACCUGCCUGUGAGAUAGGAAUAACUCCGGGAAACCGGGGCUAAUGCGGGGUAAUACUUUUCUUCGCAUGAAGGAGAGUUGAAAGAUGGCUUCUCGCUAUCACUUACAGAUGGGCCCGCGGCGCACUAGCUAGUUGGUGAGGUAACGGCUCACCAAGGCGACAAUACGUAGCCGACCUGAGAGGGUGAUCGGCCACACUGGGACUGAGACACGGCCCAGACUCCUACGGGAGGCAGCAGUAGGGAAUCUUCCGCAAUGGACGAAAGUCUGACGGAGCAACGCCGCGUGAACGAUGAAGGUGUUCGGAUCGUAAAGUUCUGUUGUUAGGGAAGAACAAGUACCGCGCGAAUAGAGCGGUACCUUGACGGUACCUAACGAGGAAGCCCCGGCUAACUACGUGCCAGCAGCCGCGGUAAUACGUAUGGGGCAAGCGUUGUCCGGAAUUAUAGGGCGUAAAGCGCGCGCACGCGGUUCCUUAAGUCUGAUGUGAGAGCCCACGGCUCAACC
rnacentral:rRNA from 1 species